GGAAUAUUGCACAAUGGGCGAAAGCCUGAUGCAGCGACGCCGCGUGAGGGAUGACGGCCUUCGGGUUGUAAACCUCUUUCAGCAGGGAAGAAGCGCAAGUGACGGUACCUGCAGAAGAAGCACCGGCUAACUACGUGCCAGCAGCCGCGGUAAUACGUAGGGUGCGAGCGUUGUCCGGAAUUAUUGGGCGUAAAGAGCUCGUAGGCGGCCUGUCGCGUCGGAUGUGAAAGCCCGGGGCUUAACCCCGGGUCUGCAUUCGAUACGGGCAGGCUAGAGUGUGGUAGGGGAGAUCGGAAUUCCUGGUGUAGCGGUGAAAUGCGCAGAUAUCAGGAGGAACACCGGUGGCGAAGGCGGAUCUCUGGGCCAUUACUGACGCUGAGGAGCGAAAGCGUGGGGAGCGAACA
rnacentral:rRNA from 1 species